rnacentral:rRNA from 1 species
GACGGGGGGGGCAAGUGUUCUUCGGAAUGACUGGGCGUAAAGGGCACGUAGGCGGUGAAUCGGGUUGAAAGUGAAAGUCGCCAAAAAGUGGCGGAAUGCUCUCGAAACCAAUUCACUUGAGUGAGACAGAGGAGAGUGGAAUUUCGUGUGUAGGGGUGAAAUGCGUAGAUAUUACAAGGAACACCAAUGGCGAAGGCAGCUUGCUGGGCUUCUUCUGACACUGAGGUACGAAAGCGUGGGGAGCGAACAGG